rnacentral:rRNA from 1 species
UUAGAGUUUGAUCCUGGCUCAAGACGAACGCUGGCGGCGUGCUUAACACAUGCAAGUCAAACGAAGCUUGAUUACGGAUUCUUCGGAUGAAGUAUGAUAUGACUGAGUGGCGGACGGGUGAGUAACGCGUGAGUAACCUGCCCUUCAGAGGGGGAUAGCGUUUGGAAACGAACGGUAAUACCGCAUAAUGUAUUUUGACCGCAUGAUCGAAAUACCAAAGAUUUAUCGCUGAAGGAUGGACUCGCGUCUGAUUAGGUAGGGGGGGGGGUAACGGCCUACCAAGCCGACGAUCAGUAGCCGGACUGAGAGGUUGAUCGGCCACAUUGGGACUGAGACACGGCCCAGACUCCUACGGGAGGCAGCAGUGGGGAAUAUUGCACAAUGGGCGCAAGCCUGAUGCAGCAACGCCGCGUGAAGGAAGACGGUUUUCGGAUUGUAAACUUCUGUUCUUAGUGAAGAAUAAUGACGGUAGCUAAGGAGCAAGCCACGGCUAACUACGUGCCAGCAGCCGCGGUAAUACGUAGGUGGCAAGCGUUGUCCGGAAUUACUGGGUGUAAAGGGAGCGCAGGCGGGUGAUCAAGUCAGCUGUGAAAACUACGGGCUUAACCCGUAGACUGCAGUUGAAACUGUUCAUCUUGAGUGAAGUAGAGGUUGGCGGAAUUCCGAGUGUAGCGGUGAAAUGCGUAGAUACUCGGAGGAACACCGGUGGCGAAGGCGGCCAACUGGGCUUUAACUGACGCUGAGGCUCGAAAGUGUGGGGAGCAAACAGGAUUAGAUACCCUGGUAGUCCACACUGUAAACGACGUUAAUAGGUGUGGGGGGUCUGACCCCUUCCGUGCCGGAGCUAACGCAAUAAGCAAUCCACCUGGGGAGUACGACCGCAAGGUUGAAACUCAAAGGAAUUGACGGGGACCCGCACAAGCAGUGGAUUAUGUGGUUUAAUUCGAAGCAACGCGAAGAACCUUACCAGCACUUGACAUCCAACUAACGAAAUAGAGAUAUAUUAGGUGCCCUUCGGGGAAAGUUGAGACAGGUGGUGCAUGGUUGUCGUCAGCUCGUGUCGUGAGAUGUUGGGUUAAGUCCCGCAACGAGCGCAACCCUCGCCAUUAGUUGCUACGCAAGAGCACUCUAAUGGGACCGCUACCGACAAGGUGGAGGAAGGUGGGGACGACGUCAAAUCAUCAUGCCCCUUAUGUGCUGGGCUACACACGUAAUACAAUGGCCAUCAACAGAGAGAAGCAAUACCGCGAGGUGGAGCAAAACUUCAAAAAUGGUCUCAGUUCGGACUGCAGGCUGCAACCCGCCUGCACGAAGUUGGAAUUGCUAGUAAUCGUGGAUCAGCAUGCCACGGUGAAUACGUUCCCGGGUCUUGCACACAGGGCCCGUC